rnacentral:rRNA from 1 species
GAUGAACGCUGGCGGCGUGCUUAACACAUGCAAGUCGAACGGAAAGGCUCCUGCUUGCAGGGGUACUCGAGUGGCGAACGGGUGAGUAACACGUGGGUGAUCUGCCCUGCACUUCGGGAUAAGCCUGGGAAACUGGGUCUAAUACCGGAUAGGACGAUGGUUUGGAUGCCAUUGUGGAAAGUUGUUUCGGUGUGGGAUGAGCUCGCGGCCUAUCAGCUUGUUGGUGGGGUAAUGGCCUACCAAGGCGUCGACGGGUAGCCGGCCUGAGAGGGUGUACGGCCACAAUGGGACUGAGAUACGGCCCAGACUCCUACGGGAGGCAGCAGUGGGGAAUAUUGCACAAUGGGCGCGAGCCUGAUGCAGCGACGCCGCGUGGGGGAUGACGGCCUUCGGGUUGUAAACUCCUUUCGCUAGGGACGAAGCGCAAGUGACGGUACCUGGAGAAGAAGCACCGGCUAACUACGUG